CUAGAGCUGGCUAGCUCGGUCUUCUCUCUCUUCCUUCACUUGCAUGAACUCCAUCUUGUAUUCAUGGCGGACGAGUGCUGAACUCAUGAGAAUGAGAGAGAUGCAUGCAAAGAUUUGUGCUCUCCAUCCAUUGAGCGAUAAGACAGAGAACAGCAGGGUGGUGUGUACAGAGCGUCGCCAUUAGCAGUCACGGGUGCGCGUCUGUAUGCUGGGGCGCUGUAAGACAAGAUUCCGCAGAACCUACUGCAGAACAGUACCCUAUGACGCCAAUGACCUUAACAGCUACCUGCCACGGGAAUGGAUACACUAAAACUGGAAUCUGUGACAGGCAUCUCGAGGUACAGCGUCAUAACUCAACGGCAAGGAUAACGCGGCCGGGGUGCAGGUGCUCAAAAAAUCCGCAUCCGGAGACGGCGAGCCCAUGGAGAAGCGCAACCAAGAGCCGUCCCUGUCGUCGUCCUUGGGCUGAGAAGGGGAGGGGAGGACGAGAUGAAGAGAGGAGGGAGAGUGAGACAGCGAGCCCAUGGAGAAGCGCAACCGGGAGAAAAUCUGCCCGUCAGCGGUACGAAGGCGACAGCCCUCUCCACCUCCGUGCGGCCACCCAGGUUCUUUCAAUACUGCACCUGCUUCCUCUUCCUCUGCUUCGAAUCGAUCUUUAGUAGGUACGAACCAUGGUCUUGAAGCUCAUGCAUGUUCACUGUUUUCUGUAGAAUACACGGAUAAUUAAAACCUAUACGGGAGACGGACAUUCUUCUUCCACUUCUCUACAUCAUGCUACCCACCGGGCGUGGAUAUUCACCUCCACCAAUUUCGUUGAUCCUAUGUGCUACUUCAGUUUAUUAGCUACGUUUAUACACUAUUCUUAAAGGCCUAAGCCCAAAUCGCAUGUUAAUUCCCUGCGCAAUUUUUGUUAUCCUAAUACACCUUGGCAAAAAAAAUUGGCACUCAGGAUCGAACUCACAGUACUUAACUUUAUACCUUCAAUGCUUUUAACUGGGUGUGUGAUUCUUUUGUUACUAAAUAAGAUUAGCUUCUCCCUAUGCAUCUGUUGUUUGUUUGAUAAUUUAUUGGGCAUAUUUUCAACUGGAAGACACAAAGGAGGUGGCGUAGUGGCAUGGAGAUCCUGGUGUUGAGUGUCUUGUUUGUCUGGCUACUGUUCUGAAUAGAUGGUAACACUAAUUAUUGAGGCUAAAUGAUACUGUUAUACCGCUUUCUUGGCCUAAAUAUUAUUUAGUAAACAUCUUUGUUCCAUAUCCUAUUAAUAUGCGUGCAUCUUCUCAAUUUAUUCCCAUUGGUGCAAUGCCUAUUUGAUUUUAUUAUUAGCUAUUAUGGGAAAGUUAGUACUAAGUACUGCCCUUGAGCAAGCGCUUUCUAUUUAUUUGAUUCAGUUAACGAAUUCAGUUUUCCGUGGUCGAUGAAUACAGUAGGAGCCUGGGAUCUUUUAACCACAGAGAUGCUUAAUUAGUAAUCAAAAAAUGCAUCAUUUCUUUGUUGGAAUUCUAUUGGUUCGGCCGUCGACACGUCUCUCUUCAAGGCAAGGUCAGGUCUAAGGUGAGCUCAUCAUAUUUUCUUUCUUCAAUCUCGGGUGAAGAUAUAUUUCCUGUGCACUAAGAUCCAUUUUUUGUGUGAAUGAGGAGGCCAGACAGCAUUUUACGAACCGUUUAUGCCUCUGAACCGGACCAUACCGUGGGUGAUUGACGAUUGUCUUAGUGUGCAUAGCUAUAUUCUUGGGUGCAUGUUAGAUCUAAUAAUUUUGACAAUCUGUUAGGUGACAGACGAAAGAUUUGCUGAUACGUUUGCAUUUAUCGAGUUCGGUGCAGAAGGCAUUAUUAUAUCUUCAGAUGCUACAUUUAUGUUUUUCAGCAGUUAAUUGAUGGUUUGAUACAUAUGGCACAUUUAAUAUAGCGGGUGCUAGAGCUGCACUUAACCUUGGUAGCACAAUGCUUGGGUUCUACCCUGUUAGAGUCUUGCCUUCAAAGACAACUAUCUUACCUGUGAAUCCAGAAAUUCUUCCGGUGGUAGGUUGUUUGAUGUUUCACCUUCUGCCAGCUCCAUUCUACUUAUCCACAAUACCAACAACAAUAUCCUAUUGUUCCUGGCCCGUAGAUGGGGGAUUAGAAAGAAAUGGUCCUAUAAACGGUUUAUUGUAAAAUAUGGAUAAGAAGGUACACACUCGUGUUCUACUUCGACAUCGUAUUGUCUUUCACUUGCUCAUUUUCUCAUCAUACCUUUUUUUAUUUCAAGACACCGCAAUCAAAUCAGAUGUUUAAUUACAAUUUACCUGUUUUCUCUGCAGGUUACUCAAUUAGAUGUAAAGAGUUUCUUUGAAGAACUUUGUGGUGAGGUUUACUAAUUUUGGCUCAAGGGAGACACAUUUUUGGCUGGCACGACAUUGAAUUCUCCGGUAAGAACCUCCACGGGUGUUGAGAGAUGGUGGGUGAUACAGCGAUAGGUGGCACUGGGGUCCAGUUGUGAUCGUAUCUGCUGGCUAUGCUGAUUGCCCUGGUGAAUGACAAUGAUAUCUUUGGGGAAGCUUCAGAAAGUACAUCAACUUCUGCAACAUCUGUACCUACUGCAGAUCUUACGAGUAUUGAUCAGCUUCUCAAAACAAGUGGUGGAGUUAAUGAGCCAGGAUGAAGUUCGAGAAGUUGCAUUAUACCAUGUAAAUAUUAAGGUUCCACUUUAAUGAGCUGUGGAAGACAAGUGCACCGACAUAGCUGUUGGAGACAUAAGAAGAUGAUGAAGAGCGAUUUAUGGGUAAAAAAUAUAGUGAAUAGAUUUGCACGUGAAGUCAAGUGUAUGCCCAGACUCGAGCAGGUUCGCUGUUAUUGUUGUUCUUGUGUGUCAAGGCUUUUGGCUGCAGACUUGCAGAAGGGGCAGCUGGGGCAUGGGGACACUCUUGCGUAACCUCCAGCUGUCGUUUCUAAACUAUGAAGAGAAUCGUAUGCACUGCCCUUCAUUUUAAUUGUGUAAACAGAUACAACAUAAUUGCAGCAGCUGUUGGAAGAAAUCACACGGUGGUUGUAACUAGCGAAGGGGAAAGUGAUUUUCAUUUGGUGACAACAUGCAUGGGCGGGAGGGGUUCACUAAGGAGUGGUCGACUCCCUUGCCUGUUGCAUUUUUUUCUUUAUGGUUGAUAGAUGACACAACUAGAAGUGCAGUAAAUACGACUUAUAUUGUCACCUGUUCUUACAACCUACCUGUUUGGGUGAUAAUGAAACCAAUAAAAAUAUGGCGGCCAUUAGUCAGUGUUUCACAAGUCAUGUAUAGAUCUUUUAGUUUUGUGGCCUACACGCUUAUGUGUAAUAUUUAUCUGUUGAUAAUCAUCUUUGUCAUAUAUUGCUAAGGACAUGAAAAAUGAUGUGUUUCAAAAACCAUGAAGAGCAUUAGUUUGGGUGUUUUAAAAAUCUUGUUAGUCACAAUCUUAUGACUGUUUUAGACGGAAAAAAUCAAUUGACAAAUCUAAUGACUUCGUUUAUGCUAUACAGGUGAGUGAUAAGCUUGAUCAUCGGAGCUUGUGAAACCGUGUGAGAUUUUGAAUCCCCACAACAAGCCCGAGAGGCUGGCACUAAUCACGAGGAUGGGGGCUGAGAAGAUGCAUGACAAGCUCCCCCAUAUGAUCAGAGUUGUGCGUUAAGCAGGGCUGAUUGUCACCUGGGUCAGCGAUCCCAUGCACCGGAACACCAUCAGCGCAUCUUGCAGGUUCAAGACAGGACCAUUCGAUGCAAUCCGAAUAAGCAUGAUAACUUUUUGCAUAAUUCGACACAGAACAACCUACCUAUAUCUGAUUUUUCACGCUGAGGCUUUGUUUUAUGUCCAUGAGUGAGAGGGAGCUACCCUGGAAGGGUUCACCUAGAAAUGACAUGGCAGAACGUUACAGAGUGCAUUGGUGAAUCCAACACAAUGACCUGAAAUGAUCUCAUUUCCCGCUACCACACACAUUGCGACCCCAGGCUGAAUGUGUCACAGUCGCUCGAGCUGACCUUCACCAUUUUCGAUAGGCUAAGGAAGAAGGACAUGGAAUAACCUCAUAUCUAGGGUACAAGCUUAAGAUAUCUAUCUUAUGUUUCUUCCCCGCAAAACUCUCUUCUGCUGCUAGAGGACAUAAUUUUACAUUCUUUAGUUUUUUUAGUAGUAUAGGUGGCGUUUGAUUUUGGAAAUACCGAGAAAAAAUCUCCCUCAAAUAAUAGGAUAUAGUUGUUUUGUUGCAUUACCAAUUGUGCUUAGUUCAAUUUCUUUCGUGUUCAUCCUUUCUUUGAUGCAGAUAGUGUGAGGGAGAUUACAGGAGACCUGACAAUAGAUUACUCAUUCGGUAUCUGCUGAGAUUGUACAUAAUGUUUAUUGAUUAAAUUUGGAAAUGUAAUAUGAGAAGUAAGGGCAUCUAUAGUGCUUCCCUGAAUUUUAAGUCCUCAAAAGACACUCCAAGUUCAACUCAAAUUUUUA